rnacentral:lncRNA from 1 species
GUUCCAGGAGGGUGGCGCACCCGGAAAGGGCAUGGAAGCUCCCCGCCCCUUCCCACAGACCUUCCCCUAUCCAUCUCUUCAUCUGUUGUUCAUCGAUAGCCUUUGUAAUGUCCUUAAUAGUAAACCGGAAAACAUAUACACCUAACAGCAUGGUAAGGAAGCCCCAGAAGGAUGUUUCUAAAGACCAUGAGGGAGUCUGAAGCCUGAAAUCAUGCCAAGGACUCUCUGCUUCUCUUUUGCUUGGGGUGUCUGUCUGAUGCUGCCACAACCAGUUGAAACGUAUAACAUUAACAAUAAAAAUUAGUUUUUUUGUAACUAA